GUUCUGGGCCGCACGCGCGCUACACUGAUGUAUUCAACGAGUAUAUAGCCUUGGCCGACAGGCCCGGGUAAUCUUGGGAAAUUUCAUCGUGAUGGGGAUAGAUCAUUGCAAUUGUUGGUCUGUGACGAGGAAUGCCUAGUAAGCGCGAGUCAUCAGCUCGCGUUGACUACGUCCCUGCCCUUUGUACACACCGCCCGUCGCUCCUACCGAUUGAAUGGUCCGGUGAAGUGUUCGGAUCGCGGCGACGGGGGCGG
rnacentral:ncRNA from 1 species